GCAACAUAGUUCAGUUGGUAAAGCAUGAGGCUCUUAAUCUCAGGGUUGUGGGUUUGAGCCCCACGUUGGGCG
rnacentral:tRNA from 1 species